rnacentral:rRNA from 1 species
AUAUCAAUAAGCGGAGGAAAAGAAACCAACAGGGAUUGCCCCAGUAACGGCGAGUGAAGCGGCAACAGCUCAAAUUUGAAAUCUGGCCCCCGCGGGGUCCGAGUUGUAAUUUGCAGAGGAUGCUUCGGCGUCGGCCCCGGGCCAAGUCCCCUGGAACGGGGCGUCCUAGAGGGUGAGAGCCCCGUACCCUCCCGGGUGUCCUUCGCCGUGUGAAGCUCCUUCGACGAGUCGAGUUGUUUGGGAAUGCAGCUCUAAGCGGGAGGUAAAUUUCUUCUAAGGCUAAAUACCGGCCAGAGACCGAUAGCGCACAAGUAGAGUGAUCGAAAGAUGAAAAGCACUUUGGAAAGAGAGUUAAAGAGCACGUGAAAUUGUUGAAAGGGAAGCUCUUGCCGCCAGACUUGCCGCGGUUGCUCGGCCGCCCCCAGGGGCGGCGUACUCUUCCGCCGGCAGGCCAGCGUCGGUUCGGGCGGCCGGAUAAAGGCCCCGGGAACGUGGCACCCUCCGGGGUGUGUUAUAGCCCGGGGUGCAAUGCGGUCAGCCCGGUCCGAGGCACGCGUUCGCGAGGACGCUGGCGUAAUGGCUGCAAGCGACCCGUCUUGAAACACGGACCAAGGAGUCUAACAUCUGUGCGAGUGUUUGGGCGUCAAACCCAUGCGCGUAAUGAAAGUGAACGGAGGUGGGAACCCCCUCGAGGGGCGCACCAUCGACCGAUCCUGAUGUCUUCGGAUGGAUUUGAGUAAGAGCAUAGCUGUUGGGACCCGAAAGAUGGUGAACUAUUCCCGGAUAGGGUGAAGCCAGGGGAAACUCUGGUGGAGGCUCGCAGCGGUUCUGACGUGCAAAUCGAUCGUCAAAUCUAGGAAUAGGGGCGAAAGACUAAUCGAACCAU